AGAAAAAUGAACAGCGAGAAUAUACGGAUUCGGCGAACCUCCUCUGCCAGAAGUAUGGAACACACUCAAACCUCUCGACCAACUCAUCAUUAUCAACUGUAGAUAUGUUCCGUUAAUGGUGCUCGUCUAAAACGAAAAAGAACAAGCUUCAGGCAACUCAAAAGCUGCGCACCAGAUAAUAUAUAAAAAAAAAAAAACUCCCAACUAUUGUGAUAUGCAUAUACGUAUACAUAUUCUUGAUAGAAAUGGGAGAGAUGGAUUCAUUUAAAGAUAUACAGCCACUGCGGGGCCAUGUUUCGUUAUUGAAGACAGUGCAGGAGAUUCGUUCAGGGAAGGAUUCAGUGGAAGCAUAUGUCGUGGAAAUAAAUAUCAAGGCAGCGAGCAAAGUGUCAAAGUUACUGGAGUCCAAAUUCCCCAAGGAUCCAUCGCUAUCUCUCACGCAUUUGCGCCGCUUCGUGAAACCGGAAUUUCUACCAGGACACCUAAAAGGGGGUUCGUCUUCAGCAGUAGCAGCAGCAGAGGGAGCUGUAACUGCAGGAUCCAAGGCCCCAGAAACUAUCUACAUCCUCAUCCCACCGCCAUUGCCUGAUAUUUCCCUUCUAGAAUCCCUCCUGGCACCAUAUGCACCCAUCUCAGAGUCCACAGGUCCUUCAUCCUCUCCUGAUGCAGAAGCGAUAGAACCAACCCUACAAGUUCCUAUUCAAAUCCAAUCAACCCGAAUCCCCCUUUCUCCCCCAGCCACUGAGGAAGAAUCGGCGACAUGGUCGCGCACACUAUGGCCAACCAUCUUUAAUCCUGCUGCUCACCCAGUCGCGCACUCGCCCCGUGGUCCCUUGCUGCUGAAUGCCCAAGAGUCUGUGUCCCGCAGGGCCAGCAGCUAUCUAGCUCUAGCGAGCAAAGUUGCCCUGGAGGCGAAGCGGAAUGGACGAGGACGGGCUGUUGGUGCAGUGGUGGUUGAUCCCGCGUUGGCUGAAUUGGCUGAUCCUUCGGAUGGGAUUGCUGGUGUUGUAGUCGUAGCGGGGGAUGCGAGGUACUGGAAUAGGAGAAGUAAAGGGGAAGGGUGUUCGGAAUAUGUUCCUUCGAAGAAGAGUGUUGAAAAUACCGGAGCCGAGGGGACAGCAUCAUCGUAUAAUCCGGACAAUGAGGGACAACCGGAUCACCAUGCGCUGAUGCGCGCCAUAUCGCUAGUCGCCUAUAAGCGCCUCAUUUCGUCGACGUCUCGCACAAUAACGCCCUUGGUAUCUAGAGACUCAUCCCCGACGCGGGGGGCUCUAUCAUCAACUCCCAGCCCUACACCCAUUGCAGCACCCUCUACAAAUCCUUCAACAGCCUCUCUACCCCCACCCACGAAGCCCAAACCGUCACCACCUUCCCUUACAUCCCAGCCAAUCCAAUCAACCACUCAACCACUACCGCCUUCUCCCCCACCCGGACCCCUAGAAUCCCACUUCCUCUCUCUCCCCAACAUCCAAACUCGCACACAGGGCGGUUAUCUCUGCACAUCGCUUGACCUAUACAUAACCCACGAACCCUGCGUGUGCUGUGCGAUGGGCAUGCUGCUCUCCCGGUUCCGGGCUGUGGUGUAUUUGCAAGCUACGGGCCCUGGGAGGGCAGAUGCGGCGCUGGAUCCGUAUACGGGGUACGGAUUGCAUUGGAGGCAAGAGUUGAAUUGGAGGGCGGUGGGGUUUCGGUUUUGCGUUGAGGAAGAGGA
rnacentral:sRNA from 1 species